rnacentral:rRNA from 1 species
AACGAACGCUGGCGGCGCGCUUAACACAUGCAAGUCGAACGAGAAGGCGUAGCAAUACGCUUGUACAGUGGCGAACGGGUGAGUAAUACGUGGGCGACCUACCCUCGAGUGGGGAAGUAACCCGCCGAAAGGCGGGCUAAUGCCGCGUACGCUUCCAUCUUUAUGGAGGUGGAAGGAAAGCCGUGCCGUGGGCACGGCGCUCAAGGAUGGGCUCACGUCCUAUCAGCUUGUUGGUAGGGAACGGCCUACCAAGGCUCCGACGGGUAGCUGGUCUGAGAGGACGAUCAGCCACACUGGCACUGCGACACGGGCCAGACUCCUACGGGAGGCAGCAGUGAGGAAUAUUGCGCAAUGGGCGAAAGCCUGACGCAGCGACGCCGCGUGGGGGAUGAAGGCCUC